UACGUAGGGGGCAAGCGUUGUCCGGAAUUACUGGGCGUAAAGCGUGCGCAGGCGGUUCGGAAAGAAAGAUGUGAAAUCCCAGGGCUUAACCUUGGAACUGCAUUUUUAACUGCCGGGCUAGAGUAUGUCAGAGGGGGGUAGAAUUCCACGUGUAGCAGUGAAAUGCGUAGAGAUGUGGAGGAAUACCGAUGGCGAAGGCAGCCCCCUGGGAUAAUACUGACGCUCAUGCACGAAAGCGUGGGGAGCAAACAGG
rnacentral:rRNA from 1 species